AAAAGAUGAGAUAGGUUAGAGUAAGGGUCAUGGUCAGGUUUGGGUCAGUUAAAUGGCCUGGUCCAGUAGAACUUUUCUGGUUGGCUUUGACAGCACAGUCCCAGCUCCACAUGGGUGGUGAGCCUAGAGCCGUGGCAUCUGGGCCACCUGUCCCCUCCCCCCAUGGGUCCCUGUCCACAGACAGAAGGUGCCUCGAGAUGGACAGGUCUCCCAAAGCAAUCUUCCCAUGUGCCCUCAGCUGAAGCCUUCCCCCUCAGGUCCAAGGGUGGCUGGCAGAGAUCAGGAGAGGGGAAGGUGGCCCGGUCAGCAGGGUCACGCGGGGGAUGACAGAUCCAGCAAUCAGUUAAAUUGAGGGCAGUAGUUGUUAUGGUCUGGAAAAAGCACAUGCGAGAGCUUUGGGUUUGGUUUGUUUGGCAGCAGAGAAAGACCCCAGGGCACUGGCAAUAAUAUGAGGCCACGGAAGAGCAUGUCGGUAUCUAGAAAAUUAACCUCGCGUCGCUAUUUUGGUGGAAACCAUCUUGCCUCCCAAGUCAAUAGUCCUUGGCUGAAAGUCCCCCAAGAGAAUGGAGGUCCAGGAGUUGGAUUGAGGGCAGUGGUGACGGUCUGGGACAAGGUUAUCCCAGCAUUCUGGGAUGACAGCCUGGGCCAGGUGUCCUGCUGGUAAGCCAAAAGAUGCUAAUGGUCCCACCCUCCAUCCCUGACCUCCCAGGGGCCAAGGUGCUUCUUCCGACCAGUGGGGCUGCUCCCCUUUCACAGCUGCAUGGUCAGCAUGACCUGUCCCUGCUGCACAGGGACUUCACCCUUUAAAAUGUCACCAUUUCUAACUCAUACCCCUCUGGCUGGGUUCACCCCUAGGCGAUUACAAUGUGCCAUCCUGGAAUAUUGCCCAGAUCACACUCAUGAUGAUUAUCACCAAUGUCCAUAACUGCCCGGAUCCAGCAAGUAUAGGCAGGAGGAAGGAGAGGCCCCAGGAACUAAACCAGGUUCUAUAGAAACCAGGUUUCCUAGAAGAGAAUUCCACUGGAGCUUUAAAACUGAUGGGCUGAAAAAAAAAAAUGAUAGGUGUAUUUUUCUUCACGUCAAAUGAAAACAUAAAACUGUGUCCUAUGAGAAAUGUGGAGCAAAGCUACUAUGCGAUGUUUCAAGCCGUCUGUGCUUAGAUCAUCCCCCACCUGCUGUGCUUAGAAUUGAAAAUAUUUGGAUUUCAAAAUUAGACAAUAAUUAUAUAGAAGUAAAGGAUGCUGCAUGGAACUUUGGUAUUAAAUAGUCUCAUCUUUAGAGACAUUUGAGAUAAUAUCCUGGCCUCCAUGCAGAGGACUGAUGUGGCUGAUAAUUCCCGCUGAGCACUGGGAAGGGAGUUGCAGCAGAGCUGCCUCAGUGCUUUGUAUCGUCUUGUGUCAAUGAACCAAGAAGUUCUCGGCCAACAUUUGCCCGCUUUUCAGUCUCAUCUGUGCUGUUCCUCAGCCUCAGCUUGGUUUCCAGUCUCUGCCUCCAUUCUUCUCUGAGCCUGAAAAUAGAAACAAAACACACACACAUGGAGCGUUCAUCUCUUGGUGGUUGUGUUCAUGGUGGGGGAUGCUGACGGUGGGGAGGUCGUGCGUGUGGAGAGGGCGAUAUGGGAACUCUCUACUUUCUGCUCAAUUUUGCUGUGAGCCUGCUUGAACAAAUGAAGUCUAUGUUUAAAGAUUAAUUAAUAAAAAAUAGACAACCAAGUCA